UAUAAUGCAAUCGGGGCGGGCCGGCUUGAUCUUGGCAUUGGUUCAAGAUCAGGCCGUAAAGAAUUUUUCGGAAAAUUCAGGUGAAAAUUAAGUGGCGUGGUGUUUUAGUUAGUUUUUGAGCAAAUUCGAAGCGGAGCAUCGACACCACAUCGAAAAGAUGUUGGAGAUUGAGACACGUUGGGAUCCUAUCCACGGGUACGAUUAUACCUAUUGGCCGGAUUCAAAAUAUUUCAAAAAUUACCGAUUCUCACCGCCCAUUACCAUCACAGAUGACUGGUCAUACAGAUCCAGGGUAUGGUUCCCGUACUACUGGUCUACCAGGAGGCUUUUCCAGCACUACCUCGAUUACAAACCCUCUGACAUAUCAAUUAGGGAUGUCAGAUUGAGAAACAACCUUUACUUCUAAAUUGACCUAUUAUGUCUCAGGAGUUGUGGAAGAACAUCAAAAAAACGUCAAGGAAAUAUAAAAAAUCAUUCAAGUCCGGAACUGAGUGUUGAUUACUAACGAGAAUAUUUCUUUGAUUUUGUUGUUAUGCGAUGUAAAAAACUAACGAACGAUAUAACUUAAUUUUAAUGAAUCGACGGUAAUAAAACGUGUCUCAAAAAA